AAUGAACGCUGGCGGCAUGCCUAACACAUGCAAGUCGAGCGAACGAAGGGGGCUUGCUCCCGGAUGCCGCGGCGGACGGGCGGGUAAUGCCCACGAGUCUGCCUGACAUAUGGGGAUGAGGUCCGGACACGGGCGCUAAUAUCGCAUCCGACCAUAUAUUGAACGUGGGGGAUCUUUGGUGCACGAGGUAUUAGCUGAGCCUAGGCGGAGUUAGCGAGUUGGUAGGGUAAGGGCCUAACAAGGCGACGAUCCGUAACUGGUCUGAGUGGAUGAUCGGACACACUGGAACUGAGACACGGUCCAGACUCCUACGGGAGGCAGCAGUGGGGAAUCUUGCGCAAUGGGCGAAAGCCUGAUCCAGCAAUGCCGCGUGUGUGAUGAAGGUCUUCGGAUUGUAAAGCGCUUUAAGUUGGGAGGAAGAAAAGUGAGUUUAUCCCUGGCUGUUUUGACGUUACCAACAGAAUAAGCCCCGGCUAACUUCGUG
rnacentral:rRNA from 1 species